rnacentral:lncRNA from 1 species
AGGAACUGCUUUAAUCUCCAAAUUUGAUCAAGCAGGGAGAUGUCCUCCACAACUGGAUCCAAGAAGAAGUGAUUGUUGAUGAGCGGGUUUAGCUGGUGCCUAUUAAUUUUCAAACUGUUGUGUAUACUAGCACCCUUGUCUUCCACCAUGGGUGUGUGUUGGUUAACUUCAUGUGUACCUCCUACAACAUGGUUAGUGCAAUAUAGUUCCAAAGAAAUGACAUGCAGGGGUAUAACACCCAAUCCCACUGUAACAAGCUGACCCUCAGAUAUACCCUCAGAACAUGAAUCACUUUCAAAUUCAGAAGCAAUAUCAACAACAAAAGCAGAUUCAUGUUCAGUGCAUAGGGAAUAAACAUUCAGACAAGAUGGAAAAAGUUGUUUCCCAUCAUGCAAAGAGUGAAAAUCAAAAGCAUGCUCAUCAACAUCAUAAUCAUCAACAUACCCA